AAUCCAUGCUGAGGGCACUUCCUAAAAAAUUCCUUGUACCUUUUUCAUGCUUUGUACAAGGUUUCAGAUUCCAUUUGUCGAAAUGAAGAAAUGUCAUUUUUGAGCUU